CAGGCCUGCCCUGGGCACCACCUCUCCUGCCAGUCCUGAGGAGGGAGGCAGAGGGGCACACCCCCUUGGGAGGGGCACCUGCUGGGUACGUGCAUGAAGAGGUGGGUCUCUGGGCCACCUGCCCAUGGCCACUUCCUUCUCUCUGUCCCUGUGGGCCCAGCAGCUGCCAGGAUGAGGCUGCUGUGUGGCCUGUGGCUGUGGCUCUCCUUGCUGAAAGUCCUGCAGGCCCAGACCCCAACCCCCCCGCGACUCCCGCCCCCGAUGCAGAGCUUCCAAGGAAACCAGUUCCAGGGGGAAUGGUUCGUUCUGGGCCUGGUGGGCAACAGCUUCAGGCCGGAGCACAGGGUGCUGCUGAACGCUUUCGCCGCAACUUUCGAGCUAAGUGACGAUGGCCGCUUUGAGGUGUGGAAUGCCAUGACUCGAGGCCAGCACUGUGACACAUGGUCUUAUGUGCUGAUACCGGCAGCCCAGCACGGGCAGUUCACUGUGGACCACGGUGUGGAGCCCGGGGCGGACAGAGAGGAGACCCGGGUGGUGGACAGCGACUACACUCAGUUCGCCCUGAUGCUGUCCCGCAGACACACGAGCAGGCUGGCCGUCCUCAGGAUCAGCCUGCUUGGCAGGAGCUGGUUGCUGCCUCCCGGGACGCUGGACCAGUUCAUCUGCCUGGGCAGAGCUCAGGGCCUCUCGGAUGACAACAUUGUCUUCCCAGAUGUGACUGGUAACAUGGCUCACCUGCAGGCAUGCUGGGCAGUAGGCACGGGGCCCGCAGGAAUGAGUUUGGUUGACCCUAGAGGAGCUGGACCCAGUGUCUACCCAGGGAGCUCAGCCCCAGCCUGCGCUCAGGGGUUUCCAGGCUCCUGGGUCCCUGUGCUCAACCCAGGCUCUGAGCCACCUCCUGCCGCCCCGGGUCCCCUGUCCUGGGCCACCUCCUCCCACCCCGGGUCUCCUGUCCUGGGCCACCUCCUCUCACCCCAGGUCCCCUGUCCCGGGCCAUCUCCUCCCUCUGGGUCCCCUGUCCUGGGCCACCUCCUCCCUUCACCCAUCCCUGCUCACAAGGAGCUUGGACUCAUCCCAGGAGGUGCCCUGGACCUCAGCAGCCUGCCCUGGGUGGCAGCCCCAGCCUGACCACUCAGACAGCCGCGGCCCCCAAGGCCUGACUCUUCUUGUGGGAGGGCGAGGCUGGUCACCCCAGGCCAGCGUCUGUUGAAGGAUGAAGCAGCUCCUGUCCGGCCCAGCCCUGCCUCACAGCUGCGCGAGCUCUGCCCUCCUCAGCUCUCAAACCUGAAUAAAUGCACCAAGCCCAGA